AUUGAACGCUGGCGGCAGGCCUAACACAUGCAAGUCGAGCGAGCGGCGGACGGGUGAGUAAUGUCUGGGAAACUGCCUGAUGGAGGGGGAUAACUACUGGAAACGGUCGCUAAUACCGCAUACCAUCAGAUGUACCCAGAUGGGAUUAGCUAGUAGGUGGGGUAACGGCUCACCUAGGCGACGAUCCCUAGCUGGUCUGAGAGGAUGACCAGCCACACUGGGACUGUGACACGGUCCAGACUCCUACGGGAGGCAGCAGUGGGGAAUAUUGCACAAUGGGCGCAAGCCUGAUGCAGCCAUGCCGCGUGUAUGAAGAAGGCCUUCGGGUUGUAAAGCACUUUCAGCGAGGAGGCGUUACUCGCAGAAGAAGCACCGGCUAACUCCGUGCCAGCAGCCGCGGUAAUUC
rnacentral:rRNA from 1 species